CCAGGAACUCGCACUCACACUCAUUGACAGCGGUUUAAGCGAAGAUCAAAACCCUACGAGUUAAAAGAGUUGACCUAACCGCUUCGCUGUGUGAAAGGGUACCCAACCUUUAGGUCGAAGGGAUCAAAAUACCAAAUGUCAAACUUCGGGUUUUCAAAAAAAAAAUACCUAUCAAAGAUAAAAGGGUCCGAACGACGAUGAGAAUCUCUCAUUCUGUCGAAGACUAGUUAGAUAGUGAAGUGCGCGCCGUAUAAAAGUAAAAAUUUAAAGUCCAUAUAGUCGAAAAGGACGUUACAGACAGAUUAAAAGUGCUUAAUUCUAAAUUCCUAAAUGCUAAUAGUACGCUAAACAAUAGGAAGUGAUCGAAAUCUGCCACUACCAGUGAAACGAAGAAAACCUGUAAAAAUCAAAGAAAAGGU